CUUUUAUCCAAAGCAAGGGAUGAAAAAUUGAGCAAAAUAGAGAUGUUACUUGCUCAUGUUCUUUCGAAUGCUUCAAUUUCCAUUCCACCGGAUCUAGCCAAUGGGCUAGAUAACAUUCAACAAUCUCCUAGUCAUCACCAAUCAAAGUAAAGAAAAGAAACCUGGAGGAGCUGAGUUGCUGUCAAGAUCACUUGUAGGAAAUAAACAUGGGGAAUAAAACACAAACUCUGAGUGAACUUUGGUCUGUGUAUAGAUUCUGCUUCAUGUUUAAUUGUAGUCUUCAAGGGCAAUGGAUGAGACCAUGUUGCUUGAUAUAUUUGUUAUGAUGUGAUCCUUUCCAGUUAUCUUUCAUGAUCACUUGUAGGUUUGCUGUGGAUUGUUGAAUUUAGUGCGUGUGAGCAUGCCAAUUGAAUGCAUCGAAUCUUAGUUAGUUUUAUUUGAGUAACUCAUUAAUGCUCAAAAAUAACUAUGAAGUAAACAUGUGGAUUUGGGAUUAGAGCUUCCUUAUUUGUAAUAUAAGAUGAUCCUACCAGUGGAGAAUAUUGUCCAACUACAUGUUGCUUUUUUUUAUUUGGUAUUUUUUAUCUUUGCUUUCCUUAUUUGUAAUAUAAGAUGUUCCUCUUGCAAUUGUUCUAUUGCAGGUUACAGGUUUUGGUUCUGAA